rnacentral:lncRNA from 1 species
GCCCGGCAGCCGGCAAAGCCCCCCUCCUCGUACAUCGCGCUCAUCACCAUGGCCAUCCUGCAAAGCCCGCACAAGCGCCUCACGCUCAGCGGCAUCUGCGCCUUCAUUAGUGACCGCUUCCCCUACUACCGCCGCAAGUUCCCCGCCUGGCAGAACAGCAUCCGCCACAACCUCUCGCUGAACGACUGCUUCGUCAAGAUCCCCCGCGAGCCGGGCCGCCCAGGCAAGGGCAACUACUGGAGCCUGGACCCCGCCUCCCAGGACAUGUUCGACAAUGGCAGCUUUCUCCGGCGUAGGAAGCGUUUCCAGCGCCACCA